CCUACGGGUGGCAGCAGUCGAGAAUCAUUCACAAUGGGGGAAACCCUGAUGGUGCGACGCCGCGUGGGGGAAUGAAGGUCUUCGGAUUGUAAACCCCUGUCAUGUGGGAGCAAAUUAAAAAGAUAGUACCACAAGAGGAAGAGACGGCUAACUCUGUGCCAUCAGCCGCGGUAAUACAGAGGUCUCAAGCGUUGUUCGGAAUCACUGGGCGUAAAGCGUGCGUAGGCUGUUUCGUAAGUCGUGUGUGAAAGGCGCGGGCUCAACCCGCGGACGGCACAUGAUACUGCGAGACUGGAGUGAUGGAGGGGGAACCGGAAUGCUCGGUGUAGCAGUGAAAUGCGUAGAUAGCGAGAGGAACACUCGUGGCGAAGGCGGGUUCCUGGACAUUAACUGACGCUGAGGCACGAAGGCCAGGGGAGCGAAAGGGAUUAGAUACCCCGGUAGUC
rnacentral:rRNA from 1 species